rnacentral:rRNA from 1 species
AUGGCCGACCGCCUCGUGCGGCGUGGCCUACAGCAUCCUCCCCGGUGCCCCCUCUGCGAUCAAGCUCCGGAGACCAUCCGUCACCUACUGCUUGAAUGCCCCUUCUCUCGACAGGCCUGGCAUGAGAUAUUGGCUUGGUUACGAUUGACCACCAGCGCGCCAACGAAUGAAGCCUCGCUGAAGGAUUGGUGGCAGCAAGCAAGGCAAGACACCCCCAAGUCCCUUCGCAAAGGUUUGGCCUCCAUCGCGCUCCUCAUGCCAUGGAUGAUCUGGAAGCACAGGAACGAGUGCGUUUUCGACGACAAUCUGCCGUCUAUUCACUCCCUCAUUAACAAGGUCAAGGAGGAAGCUGCCCUUUGGGCUAGAGCGGGAGCGGCUGGCCUGCGUGCCAUUCUGCCCAGGACCUGGGAUGUGCAUUAG